CCUACGGGAGGCAGCAGUGGGGAAUAUUGGACAAUGGGCGAAAGCCUGAUCCAGCCAUGCCGCGUGUGUGAAGAAGGCCUUCGGGUUGUAAAGCACUUUCAGUGGGGAAGAAAGCCUUGGGGCUAAUACCCUCGAGGAAGGACAUCACCCACAGAAGAAGCACCGGCUAACUCCGUGCCAGCAGCCGCGGUAAUACGGAGGGUGCGAGCGUUAAUCGGAAUUACUGGGCGUAAAGCGCGCGUAGGCGGUCUGAUAAGCCGGUUGUGAAAGCCCCGGGCUCAACCUGGGAACGGCACCCGGAACUGUCAGGCUAGAGUGCAGGAGAGGAAGGUAGAAUUCCCGGUGUAGCGGUGAAAUGCGUAGAGAUCGGGAGGAAUACCAGUGGCGAAGGCGGCCUUCUGGACUGACACUGACGCUGAGGUGCGAAAGCGUGGGUAGCAAACAGGAUUAGAUACCCUGGUAGUC
rnacentral:rRNA from 1 species